rnacentral:misc_RNA from 1 species
CUUGGAAAGGCCUAGUUGAUGGUAAGACUGGAUAUCUCUAUUUUUGGAAUCCAGAGACCAAUACUACCCAAUACGAGAAGCCUGUUGCUACUCCUCAUGUGGGUGCUGCACAACAUAAAUCCUCUGUAUCUGUAAGUUCAUCAGUUGAGAGGCCUUCUCAAAGUCAAUGUUCUGACCGUGGUGACAACAGAGGUACCAAUGGUGCCUUGAGCAAACUUUCCUCUGGAGAGGGUAUUCAGACUGCAAGAGCAAAUGAGCUUUCCCGCGAUGAAACAUCUGCGCCUAAAGGUUAUAGUGCUUCAGCUGCUGCGAGUGACAUAUCUCCAGAUGCCUAUCGCCGUCAGCAUGAAAUUUCUGUCACAGGAGGUGAUGUGCCCCCACCUUUCACAUCGUUUGAAGCUACUGGGUUUCCUUCAGAGAUUUUGAGGGAGAUAUAUCAAGCUGGGUUUCCUGCUCCUUCCCCAAUACAGGCACAGUCCUGGCCCAUUGCACUUCAGGGCCGUGACAUAGUAGCUGUUGCAAAGACUGGGUCUGGAAAAACUCUAGGUUUUUUGCUUCCUGGCUUUAUUCUUCUAAAGCAACGUCGGAGUAAUCCUCAAUCAGGCCCUACUAUUUUGGUUCUCUCGCCAACAAGAGAAUUAGCCACACAGAUACAAGAUGAAGCUGUGAAGUUUGGUAGAUCUUCAAAGAUUUCUUGCACGUGUUUAUAUGGAGGCGCCCCAAAAGGCCCUCAGCUACGAGAUCUGGAUAGGGGAGUUGAUAUUGUUGUUGCUACCCCUGGUCGAUUGAAUGAUAUUUUGGAGAUGAGAAGAGUUAGGCUGGAUCAAGUUUCUUACUUGGUGUUAGAUGAAGCGGAUCGUAUGCUGGACAUGGGAUUCGAACCUCAGAUAAGGAAGAUUGUGAAGGAGGUGCCUACGCGACGGCAGACACUGAUGUACACAGCAACAUGGCCUAAGGAGGUCCGUAGAAUUGCAGCUGAUCUAUUGGUUAAUCCAGUUCAGGUUAACAUUGGGAAUGUUGAUGAGCUUGUUGCGAACAAGUCUAUUACACAGUACAUUGAAGUCUUGUCAUAUAUGGAUAAACAAAAGCGUCUAGACCAGAUCUUGAGAUCCCAAGAGCCUGGAUCAAAAAUCAUUAUCUUCUGUUCAACUAAGAAAAUGUGUGACCAACUUGCUCGCAAUCUUACACACCCAUUUGGAGCUGCUGCUAUUCAUGGUGAUAAAUCUCAGGGUGAGAGGGAUCAUGUACUGAGCCAGUUCCGCACUGGCAAGUCCCCCGUUCUUGUUGCAACUGAUGUUGCUGCUCGGGGCUUGGAUGUCAAAGAUAUCAGGGUGGUGGUCAACUAUGAUUUUCCAACUGGAAUAGAGGACUAUGUCCACAGAAUAGGAAGAACUGGUCGGGCUGGUGCGACUGGUGAGGCCUACACAUUUUUUGUUGACCAGGAUGCUAAACAUGCUUCAGAUCUUAUUAAAGUUUUAGAAGGAGCAAAUCAGCAAGUGCCUACUGAACUACGUGAUAUGGCUUCUCGAGGAGGUGGUAUGGGGAGGGCUAGGCGUCAAUGGGAUUCUGGCUCAGGUGGACGGGAAGGAGGACAUGGGGGACGUUAUGAUGCUGGCUACGGUGGACGAGAUGGAGCAAGGGGUGGUUGGGAAGCCCCUUCAUCAGAAAGAAGUGGACGUGUUUAUGACUCGGAUUCACGUGACAGAGAUAGACAUGGUCAUGGCUCUGAUGCUCCAGCUAGUUUCCAUGGUCGAAGCUUCCAUGAAACUAUGAUGCAGGGUUCACAGAGACGUGAUAGAAGUCGGAGCAGAAGCCCUAAUAGAGGUUCUGGAUGGGGUGACAGAAAAGUCAGGGAGCGAAGUCGUAGCCGUAGUGCUGAAAGAUCUGAGCGGACUCGUAUUCAAGUUCCAGUAGGUGGCAGUUUCCAUGAAGCCAUGAUGGGCUUCACUAGAUCAUCAGCUGGUGAUUCCCGAAAGGACUGGGAAAAAGAAAGAUCCCAAGGUGAUGGGAAAUCUGGCGAUGGACCCCGUGCUAACAAUUGGGAGGAGUAAGAAGGUAAAGGAGAGCCUGUGUUGAUUUUUGAUGUGUUGUAGGAAAUGCUGGAAGAAAAAGGGGUCAUUUUUGUUAAACUUUAACCACUACAUGUUUUGGCAAACAAUGUUCUCGGAUAGAAGAAGCUUUUAGCGUAUUACUGGAAAUAGAUAGCUGAAAAUCUGCAAAUGGGAAGUUUUUGACGGAUGUAAAUGUAAAGUAUUUUACCGUCAAACUUUGUUUAGUGGAAUCAGCCCACUUCUAAGUGUUGAGCAAAUUUCUCUAGUUAAUGCAUUACUUUUACUCCU